rnacentral:rRNA from 1 species
AUGAGCAAGAGGCGCGGGGCGACGGAGAGCGCCGGGAACGACCCGGCCGGCGCGCCGGUGCGCCUCCCGGGGUCGCCGCGGCGCGGCGCGAGCCGGGGCGGCGUGUUCGAGUGCAGGACGUGCGGCAGGCGGUUCCCGACGUACCAGGCGCUGGGCGGGCACCGGGCCAGCCACGGGCGACAUCUCCCCAGCGCCAGCGGGCUGCGCGACGGCGACGCCCUCGGGCUCCGGCUGCUGGAGCCACGCGGUGGAGAGGCGAGGCCGAGGACGCAUGGGUGCCCCGUCUGCGGCGUGGAGUUCGCUGUCGGGCAGGCGCUCGGCGGGCACAUGAAGCGGCACCGUGACAUGGCCGACGCCGACGCCGACGCGAACGCGCACGGCACCAUGGCGGCAACGUCCGUGAAGGAUGACGGCGCUGGAGCCGGCUGCACGGCCGAGAUCUGCCUGGACUUGAACCUGGCGCAGGCGGAGAACUGCGCAAAGUGCAGGAAUGCUAGGGCCAGCGGCGAAGCCCAGAGACCGCUACUAGGGUGGAAUCCGUGA